rnacentral:SRP_RNA from 1 species
UGUUGGUCCCCUCGCAAUGAUUGACUGUUAACCCCGCCAGGCCCGGAAGGGAGCAACGGUAGCAGUGAAUCGUGUGCCGAGGUGUUGGCUGGCAGGG